GCGGAGGCGGGGCAUGGACCGGGGGCCGAAGCGGAGCCGUCGCCUUGGGGUCGCGGGGUCUCCAAGGCACCGCCCCACAUCCGCGGACACUGGCUGGACCACCCCCUACCGCCCAGCCGUGGGGACUGCGCUGUCCCCAGGCCUACCGGGCCCACAAGUGGGUGCAGUGUUGACAUUUGGGAAAGCUGGUUGGAGGCGAUACAGAGACCGUGUGCUGUUCUUGAAACCCUUUCUACGUCUGGAGUUACGUCAAAAUAGAGGAAAAUGGUUAAUAGACUCCCGAAAAUUAGAGACCUGAUUUCAGGUGUAGAGAUUUAUUGGCAACUGGGGGCAAAAGCCACACCCCGACGCUGAGUGUCCCGCUGCUCAUGAAUCUAAAGCCGAUGCAGGCGGGUCAGGUCCAAGGAUCCAGAGGGGGUCCUGCGGGACCAGGCACGAGUGUCCCCAGCCCUCUGCAGGAUAGAAAUUGAAUGUGAGCCAGCAGGAGCUAUAAAAAGGCCUCGCAUGGGGGCACCCGGGUGGCUCAGGCUUGUGAGCUCAAGCCCCACGUCAGACUCCAAGAAGACUGCGGAGCCUGCUGCUGAUUUUCUCUCUCCCUCUCUCUCUGCCCCUCCCCCACCUGCACUCGCUUUCUCGCAAAAUAAAGAGACAAUAAAUGAAUAAAUAAAUAAAUAAAUAAAUAAAUAAACGCCUUGCAUGGCUUUCUGGAAGGUCAGAUAGAAACCCGGUGCCAUGCGGGGACUUGGGGACCCAGCUUCUAGACUGCAGAUCACUCCCAAGUGUCUAGCCCCGACCUGCCCGAUGCUUGGCCCUCCUAGCAAGGGCAUGGCUCCCACGGGACUUUCCUUCCCACCCAUGAGACGUAUCCCACUGUCAGUUCCUCAGAGGAGCUCUUGUGUCUAGGGUUAGCCCUCCUGCUGCUGGUGGGUGGUGGGAUACUCACAUGUUGCGCGUGGGUGUCUGGUUAGGGACCCUUGAAAGCUAACCAUUCUCGGGCAAGGUGAGGCUGUUGUUCAUUCCCAGGGCCCCUCAAAUGUGAGUCCAGGGUGACCGCGCGGAGCCUGACACGGGGCUCGGUCGCACGAACCGUGAGAUCAUGACCGAGCCAAUAUCAACAGUCAGACGCUUAACUGACUGUGCCCCCCAGGUGCCCUUAUUUUUAACUUUUUGGGGAG